GCUAUUUUGCCAGAAACCUUUUUCAUUCUACUCAUAUUUCAGAAGAACUUACAAACAGAAUGGAGAUGAUGAGUAUGGGUUUUGAUGUGGCUUAAGAGAUUAGAUGGUAAUCUUUGUGAGCUACUAGAAAAGGUUAGGUAAGCCUCUGAGAUUAGAAUCAUUAUUAGUGGUAAAGGAUUGGAAAGCAUUACAUUUUAGGGUUAAUUUAUUAAAUGACAAGAUAAAGAAGAUUUCAAUUAGUUGCAUUUAGCAAUUUUCUUAAAAUUUUCACUUGUUUUGUCAUUCACAAAGGUUGAAAGAUUACAAGAUUCUUUGGAUCUGUAGUUAAGUUGUUAUUAUCUUUUUGUGUAUUUCAUUAUAAGGAUUAGAAAACUUCAAGAUCCUUAACAUUUUUGAAUGUUUGAUUUAACAAAAGAAAUUUAAUUUGUGUGUUGAUAUUUCUUGUUAUUGGUAUAUUCGCAGCCAUAAUGAAUGAUGAUGAUGAGUAGAAGAGAGGAAGACAAAUAAAGAAGGGAAAAUGGAUAGUGAAGGGGACGGUGCUGGUGGUGUUGAGUGGUGGGCUUUCUCAUUCUCUCACUUUUCUUGUCAAAUGUCUUGUCUUCUCCAUUUCCACACUCCAAUCCUUUUAUGCAACCUGUGAUUUCUUUAUUUAUUUGUCCUUCUUUUGCUCAACUAUGAUGUUUAAUCUAAAAUAAGAACCCAAAAAAUUGAUAUGUGCCCCCAUUUUAUGUGGUUUUAAGCAUCGUCCACUUUGUUAUAAUAUCACUCUUCAAUUUGGGUCAUUGUGACAUCGAUUUUGUAUUUUGAUUUUCCUUGAUUGACUUG
rnacentral:lncRNA from 1 species